rnacentral:rRNA from 1 species
AACACGUGAGCAAUCUGCCUUUCAGAGGGGGAUACCGAUUGGAAACGAUCGUUAAUACCGCAUAAUAUAAUUGAACCGCAUGAUUUGAUUAUCAAAGAUUUAUCGCUGAAAGAUGAGCUCGCGUCUGAUUAGCUAGUUGGUAAGGUAACGGCUUACCAAGGCGACGAUCAGUAGCCGGACUGAGAGGUUGAUCGGCCACAUUGGGACUGAGACACGGCCCAGACUCCUACGGGAGGCAGCAUGC